UACGAAGGGUGCAAGCGUUACUCGGAAUUACUGGGCGUAAAGCGUGCGUAGGUGGUUUGUUAAGUCUGAUGUGAAAGCCCUGGGCUCAACCUGGGAAUGGCAUUGGAUACUGGCGAGCUAGAGUGCGGUAGAGGGUAGUGGAAUUCCCGGUGUAGCAGUGAAAUGCGUAGAGAUCGGGAGGAACAUCUGUGGCGAAGGCGACUUCCUGGCUUAAAACUGACACUGUGGCGCGAAAGCGUGGGUAGCAAACAGG
rnacentral:rRNA from 1 species